rnacentral:tRNA from 1 species
AGUUAAUAAGCUUUAGUCAAGCUUAUAUUUUGAAAAUAUAGUAUAAAGGUUAGAUUCCUUUAUUAACUU